CCCCAGUAAACGGCGGCCGUAACUAUAACGGUCCUAAGGUAGCGAAAUUCCUUGUCGGGUAAGUUCCGACCCGCACGAAAGGCGUAACGAUUUGGGCACUGUCUCAACAACAGACUCGGUGAAAUUGUAAUUCCGGUGAAGAUGCCGGAUACCUGCGACAGGACGGAAAGACCCCAUGGAGCUUUACUGUAGCUUGACAUUGGGUCUUGGUACUACAUGUACAGGAUAGGUGGGAGGCUUUGAAACCAGGACGCCAGUUUUGGCGGAGCCAUCCU
rnacentral:rRNA from 1 species